rnacentral:rRNA from 1 species
CAAUAAGCGGAGGAAAAGAAACUAACAAGGAUUCCCCUAGUAGCGGCGAGCGAAGCGGGAAGAGCUCAAAUUUAUAAUCUGGCACCUUCGGUGUCCGAGUUGUAAUCUCUAGAAAUGUUUUCCGCGUUGGACCGCACACAAGUCUGUUGGAAUACAGCGGCAUAGUGGUGAGACCCCCGUAUAUGGUGCGGACGCCCAGCGCUUUGUGAUACAUUUUCGAAGAGUCGAGUUGUUUGGGAAUGCAGCUCAAAUUGGGUGGUAAAUUCCAUCUAAAGCUAAAUAUUGGCGAGAGACCGAUAGCGAACAAGUACCGUGAGGGAAAGAUGAAAAGCACUUUGGAAAGAGAGUUAACAGUACGUGAAAUUGUUGGAAGGGAAACGCUUGAAGUCAGACUUGCUUGCCGAGCAAUCGGUUUGCAGGCCAGCAUCAGUUUUCCGGGAUGGAUAAUGGUAGAGAGAAGGUAGCAGUUUCGGCUGUGUUAUAGCUCUCUGCUGGAUACAUCUUGGGGGACUGAGGAACGCAGUGUGCCUUUUGGCGGGGGUUUCGACCUCUUCACACUUAGGAUGCUGGUGGAAUGGCUUUAAACGACCCGUCUUGAAAC